rnacentral:lncRNA from 1 species
CUGUGCCUCAAGUGUACCUCUAAAUCUUCACGUAGACUAAAGUAGUGACCCUGAUGAAAAUUCUCUCAAUAAGUGUAUCCUCAUCCAAUCCAUCAAAUAGAUGAUCUGAGCUCUUUGGAUGAUUGAUUAAUGGAGGAGUUGUGUUUGUCUGCUCUAGCUAAACUGCUGGCUCUGCUGAUCUAACGUGAUAAAUACUGAUGC